rnacentral:rRNA from 1 species
CCUUGACAUACUAAGAACUUUCCAGAGAUGGAUUGGUGCCUUCGGGAACUUAGAUACAGGUGCUGCAUGGCUGUCGUCAGCUCGUGUCGUGAGAUGUCGGGUUAAGUCCCGNAACGAGCGCAACCCUUUUCCUUAUUUGCCAGCGGGUCAUGCCGGGAACUUUAAGGAUACUGCCAGUGACAAACUGGAGGAAGGCGGGGACGACGUCAAGUCAUCAUGGCCCUUACGGCCAGGGCUACACACGUGCUACAAUGGUCGGUACAAAGGGUUGCUACCUCGCGAGAGGAUGCUAAUCUCAAAAAGCCGAUCGUAGUCCGGAUCGCAGUCUGCAACUCGACUGCGUGAAGUCGGAAUCGCUAGUAAUCGCGGAUCAGAAUGCCGCGGUGAAUACGUUCCCGGGCCUUGUACACACCGCCCGUCACACCAUGGGAGUUUGUUGCACCAGAAGUAGGUAGUCUAACCGCAAGGAGGACGCUUACCACGGUGUGGCCGAUGACUGGGGUGAAGUCGUAACAAGGUAGGCGUAGAUGA